rnacentral:rRNA from 1 species
GGUUAAGCGACUAAGCGUACACGGUGGAUGCCCUGGCAGUCAGAGGCGAUGAAGGACGUGCUAAUCUGCGAAAAGCGUCGGUAAGGUGAUAUGAACCGUUAUAACCGGCGAUGUCCGAAUGGGGAAACCCAGUGCAAUUCGUUGCACUAUCGUUAACUGAAUACAUAGGUUAACGAGGCGAACCGGGGGAACUGAAACAUCUAAGUACCCCGAGGAAAAGAAAUCAACCGAGAUUCCCCCAGUAGCGGCGAGCGAACGGGGAGCAGCCCAGAGUCUGAAUCAGCUUGUGUGUUAGUGGAACGGUCUGGAAAGUCCGACGGUACAGGGUGAUAGUCCCGUACACCAAAAUGCACAGGUUGUGAACUCGAAGAGUAGGGCGGGACACGUGGUAUCCUGUCUGAAUAUGGGGGGACCAUCCUCCAAGGCUAAAUACUCCUGACUGACCGAUAGUGAACCAGUACCGUGAGGGAAAGGCGAAAAGAACCCCGGCGAGGGGAGUGAAAAAGAACCUGAAACCGUGUACGUACAAGCAGUGGGAGCACCUUCGGGUGUGACUGCGUACCUUUUGUAUAAUGGGUCAGCGACUUAUAUUCUGUAGCAAGGUUAACCGUAUAGGGGAGCCGCAGGGAAACCGAGUCUUAACUGGGCGUUAAGUUGCAGGGUAUAGACCCGAAACCCGGUGAUCUAGCCAUGGGCAGGUUGAAGGUUGGGUAACACUAACUGGAGGACCGAACCGACUAAUGUUGAAAAAUUAGCGGAUGACUUGUGGCUGGGGGUGAAAGGCCAAUCAAACCGGGAGAUAGCUGGUUCUCCCCGAAAGCUAUUUAGGUAGCGCCUCGUGAACUCAUCUUCGGGGGUAGAGCACUGUUUCGGCUAGGGGGUCAUCCCGACUUACCAACCCGAUGCAAACUACGAAUACCGAAGAAUGUUAUCACGGGAGACACACGGCGGGUGCUAACGUCCGUCGUGAAGAGGGAAACAACCCAGACCGCCAGCUAAGGUCCCAAAGUCAUGGUUAAGUGGGAAACGAUGUGGGAAGGCACAGACAGCCAGGAUGUUGGCUUAGAAGCAGCCAUCAUUUAAAGAAAGCGUAAUAGCUCACUGGUCGAGUCGGCCUGCGCGGAAGAUGUAACGGGGCUAAACCAUGCACCGAAGCUGCGGCAGCGACACUAUGUGUUGUUGGGUAGGGGAGCGUUCUGUAAGCCUGCGAAGGUGUGCUGUGAGGCAUGCUGGAGGUAUCAGAAGUGCGAAUGCUGACAUAAGUAACGAUAAAGCGGGUGAAAAGCCCGCUCGCCGGAAGACCAAGGGUUCCUGUCCAACGUUAAUCGGGGCAGGGUGAGUCGACCCCUAAGGCGAGGCCGAAAGGCGUAGUCGAUGGGAAACAGGUUAAUAUUCCUGUACUUGGUGUUACUGCGAAGGGGGGACGGAGAAGGCUAUGUUAGCCGGGCGACGGUUGUCCCGGUUUAAGCAUGUAGGCUGGUUAUCCAGGCAAAUCCGGAUAAUCAAGGCUGAGGUGUGAUGACGAGGCACUACGGUGCUGAAGUAACAAAUGCCCUGCUUCCAGGAAAAGCCUCUAAGCAUCAGGUAACAUCAAAUCGUACCCCAAACCGACACAGGUGGUCAGGUAGAGAAUACCAAGGCGCUUGAGAGAACUCGGGUGAAGGAACUAGGCAAAAUGGUGCCGUAACUUCGGGAGAAGGCACGCUGGUGUGUAGGUGAAGCCCCUGCGGGUGGAGCUGAGACCAGUCGAAGAUACCAGCUGGCUGCAACUGUUUAUUAAAAACACAGCACUGUGCAAACACGAAAGUGGACGUAUACGGUGUGACGCCUGCCCGGUGCCGGAAGGUUAAUUGAUGGGGUUAUCCGUAAGGAGAAGCUCUUGAUCGAAGCCCCGGUAAACGGCGGCCGUAACUAUAACGGUCCUAAGGUAGCGAAAUUCCUUGUCGGGUAAGUUCCGACCUGCACGAAUGGCGUAAUGAUGGCCAGGCUGUCUCCACCCGAGACUCAGUGAAAUUGAACUCGCUGUGAAGAUGCAGUGUACCCGCGGCAAGACGGAAAGACCCCGUGAACCUUUACUAUAGCUUGACACUGAACAUUGAGCCUUGAUGUGUAGGAUAGGUGGGAGGCUUUGAAGCGUGGACGCCAGUCUGCGUGGAGCCAACCUUGAAAUACCACCCUUUAAUGUUUGAUGUUCUAACGUUGGCCCCUGACCGGGGUUGCGGACAGUGUCUGGUGGGUAGUUUGACUGGGGCGGUCUCCUCCCAAAGCGUAACGGAGGAGCACGAAGGUUAGCUAAUCCUGGUCGGACAUCAGGAGGUUAGUGCAAUGGCAUAAGCUAGCUUGACUGCGAGCGUGACGGCGCGAGCAGGUGCGAAAGCAGGUCAUAGUGAUCCGGUGGUUCUGAAUGGAAGGGCCAUCGCUCAACGGAUAAAAGGUACUCCGGGGAUAACAGGCUGAUACCGCCCAAGAGUUCAUAUCGACGGCGGUGUUUGGCACCUCGAUGUCGGCUCAUCACAUCCUGGGGCUGAAGUAGGUCCCAAGGGUAUGGCUGUUCGCCAUUUAAAGUGGUACGCGAGCUGGGUUUAGAACGUCGUGAGACAGUUCGGUCCCUAUCUGCCGUGGGCGCUGGAGAAUUGAGGGGGGCUGCUCCUAGUACGAGAGGACCGGAGUGGACGCAUCACUGGUGUUCGGGUUGUCAUGCCAAUGGCACUGCCCGGUAGCUAAAUGCGGAAGAGAUAAGUGCUGAAAGCAUCUAAGCACGAAACUUGCCCCGAGAUGAGUUCUCCCUGAGACUUUAAGUCUCCUGAAGGAACGUUAAAGACGAUGACGUUGAUAGGCCGGGUGUGUAAGCGCAGCGAUGCGUUGAGCUAACCGGUACUAAUGAACCGUGAGGCUUAACCUU